UAUUGAACAACGCAAAUUCAACACACUCACUCAAAGCAUUUUCAUUGGAGAGACCCGUCAUCUACGGAUGGUGUGAGGUCUCCAUGAGAACGAAAACCGUCUGUGUAGUGGAGAAUAGACUUUGGCUGAUCUUGGGUGCGGUUUCUUCCUGCUUUGCAAUGGGAGAGAGCGCAAUGAUUGGUCGUACAU
rnacentral:sRNA from 1 species